rnacentral:lncRNA from 1 species
GAACAGCGGUUCCUGCCCUCAGACUAAUGGUAACUUGCAAUAGGGCCUCUGAAGAAGCCUCUAAAUCCUUAAUCUUCAAGCUGCAGAGGAGAAAAAGACGAAAUCUAGAGAGUUCCAGUGGAACCAAAGCUGUGAUCAAUAACAAGGAGGCAAGUAUGUCUUUGCCACAGGUUCCCAAAGCUGACACUGUACACUGGUGCGUCACCUUGGUGAUCAUACAGAGAAUUAUGACACAUGGGAGCCAAUGAUAAAAGGAAAUGUAAUAUGAAAAAAAUCUUCCUAAAUAUUUCCAAGUAGUGCUGUUUAAAGAAGAUUUAGAACUAGUUUUAGACUUUAUUUCAAGUAACAGAUAGAUG